rnacentral:rRNA from 1 species
CCUACGGGAGGCAGCAGUAGGGAAUUUUCGUCAAUGGGGGAAACCCUGAACGAGCAAUGCCGCGUGAGUGAAGAAGGCCCUCGGGUUGGAAAGCUCUGUUGUAAGAGAAAAAAGGUAAUGAUAGGGAAUGAUCAUUAAGUGAUGGUAUCUUACGAGGAAGCCACGGCUAACUACGUGCCAGCAGCCGAGGUAAUACGUAGGUGGCAAGCGUUAGCCGGAAUGAUGGGGCGGAAAGGGGGCGCAGGCGGGACCAUAAGCCUGCAGUAAAAGCCAUCGGCUCAACCCAUGUAAGCUUUGGAAACUGUGGAUCUGGAGUGCAGGAGAGGACAGUGGAAUUCCAGGUGUAGCGGUGAAAUGCGUAGAUAUAUGGAGGAACACCAGUGGCGAAGGCAGCUGUCUGGCCUGUAACUGACGCUGAGGCACGAAAGCGUGGGGAGCAAAUAGGAUUAGAUACCCUUGUAGUC